rnacentral:rRNA from 1 species
GGAUUAGAUACCCUGGUAGUCCACGCCGUAAACGAUGGAUACUAACUGUUGGGCCGAAAGGUUUAGUGGUGAAGCUAACGCGAUAAGUAUCCCGCCUGGGGAGUACGGCCGCAAGGUUAAAACUCAAAGGAAUUGACGGGGACCCGCACAAGCGGUGGAGCAUGUUGUUUAAUUCGAUGCAACGCGAAGAACCUUACCUAGACUUGAUCCCUAUCAUAGCUCUUGUAAUGAGAGUGUCAGUUCGGCUGGAUAGGUGACAGAUGCUGCACGGCUGUCGUCAGCUCGUGCCG